CAGUGUCGGGUUGCUCUAUGAUAUCAGACAAGAGCUUAUCUGCCCUUGUGAAAAUGGGUAGGACUCUCCUAGGACUGAAUCUCCAGCACUGCAAUACUAUCAGCACCAGCACUGUUGACCUGCUUUUGGAACGGUUGUGGAGAUGUGAUAUCCUUUCCUAGGAAUGGAAGGAUGCUGAGAGAAUCCCAUUCCAGAAUUAGGAUGGCAAACGUAAUGCAUUGGGUUCAAAGUACAUAGCUUCAGAUUCUAGUCAGCUUUGUGAGUAGCAGCAGCUUGUUUAGUUUUUGGGUCCAUCAGCCAUGGGUGUUUUCUUUUUCCAGUACACGGUUCCUUUUUCCUGGGAGUUUGGCCGUUGAUUCUCUUUUUUUUU
rnacentral:misc_RNA from 1 species